rnacentral:lncRNA from 1 species
GAGAUUCAAAAGAAUCAAAACUUGGCUUACUUUGAGAAAACAGAGAAGGCCUCACAUAACUCGUCACCCUUAAUAUACUCAGAUAAUUCAAAUGAACCUAUUUGCAAAAAGCUUGGCAAAUUAAAAUCAGCACAUGUAUAUGUAUUACAAAUUUUGAUCAUAUGCCAACAAAAAUAACUCGGUUAAAAGCUCUAUCUUCAGCAUUUUGAAAAACUCAAAAUAAGUCAUUCCGAACACACUGAAAACUCACUUAACUGUGAAGCUUUCUUAAACCAUUAGUUAUAGAAAACAGGAAACAUAAGAAAAUAAUACAGACUGACAGAGAAUUAAUAUAUCAAAACAUCAUGAUAGAGAAUUAAUCAUUGUGCUUUCAAAUUAUAAUGGUUUCAAUGUUAAUAGUUUUGUAUAUGAUAUUUUCUUUCUAGCAAAUACAUCCCUACUUAUGUUCAUCUUUCAAGAUAUGAUCCAGUGGCAAAAUGGCUUUAACACUAAAAUGAUGGAAAAGCUUCAAAGUAAGUAGUAUGGCUUUCUCCAUCUAGAAAUGUUCUAUUUACCAUAAAAUUAACAAUCAAAACACAUUGCCCAUCUCCAAGCCUAAUCAUUUUUCUUCAUAAUCAAACACAGGUUUUUGUCCUCCUAGACCAUCCAUUUCCCUUUAGUAAGGCGAGAGAAUUUAAAUUAGGAUAUGUAGGCUUGAUCAUGGAAGUAAGAUAUUUUGCAUCCCUUAUUAAUUGGCAAAGCAACCGGAAGAGUGCCCUGCAAUUUGGUUAGACUAUCAACAUCUUGACAUUGGUUUCACUUCAUUCCACAACAUUUAGAAAUCAUAAGUGAAGAUUAUGACCAACUCAUGCUUAUCAAACAGCUUCUAUGUCCACAAAUUCAAAGGUCCAAAUCCAAAAUAUAGCAUCAUCCUGACUAAACAAAACCCACCAUGGGUUGUUGAAUUAUUGGAGAACCAACUGUUAGCAGAAUUAGAAACUGCGCCAACAUAAAGGGCAGUCAAUGUUAAGAGUGGUUGCACAGUACUACAGCAGCCACCACCAAUGGUAUGCACUAAAGGUUCAAACUUUCAGUCUGCAUAACUGUAGCGCAUACUUGACUACUGUGAAUGCUAUAUAAAAUUUUGUACAAUGUAUAGCUAAGCUCAUUAUACCCAACCCCACUAAGUAGCACCAUCUCCAAAGCAGAUCCCAAACCAAGAGAACAGGACAAAUUUGACUAGAGCAUUUACAAGUCACAGGGCAGAUAUUACUGAGGUUUGCCAACAUCCAUAUCUUUGAACCUCAGAGCACCAACUAGAACAAUGAUAUGUGUAAAGUUCCACAAUACAAGUCACAGGGCAGAUAUUACUGAGGUUUGCCAACAUCCAUAUCUUAGAACCUCAGAGCACCAACUAGAACAACGAUAUGUGUAAAGUUCCAGUACCCUCCUUAAAAUUCAUGUAACAUCCCAAUUCAACAUCUUGCAUCACUAGACAUUGGUUGUCAACAAAUUUAUGGCCACAAUAUCUUCAGCAUAAUUGCUAGGCCAUUUCAUACCAAACAAGCAUCCAAUCCCAGAAGAUGGAUAUUGCAUGUUCAAGAUCUAAAGGACACAUUCCAUAUUAACGAGGCUUAUACAAUCUUCCAAUUAACAAAGGUUCGUUGGUAUAAUAUUCUUUCUUCAUCCUAUAAGAAACUGGGCUUACUACUCCAUAACUGCGGCAUAUCAUCAUGCUAAUAAAUCCUGAGAAAAUAGAACAUGCCAAUUGUCAUCACUUAUGAGUUCUAUAGUUACCCCAUUAAACUAAGAUUGAAAAGGACCUACAACACCAUCUGCAAUUCAGACAAUGUAA